AUGAACGGGGUGAGAUUAAUUGGUGGAUUGCUGGAAAAUGGAUUGUGUUGGUUUGAUGAAAGGGGGUAUAUAGGUUUGGAAGAGGGAGAUGAAGAAGGGUGUUGCGGAUUGAAGAUGAGGGAAACAGGGGAGGUUGUGCAUGAAGAAAUUGAGAGGAAGGAUUAG